rnacentral:rRNA from 1 species
GGCGUGCUUUAAACACAUGCAAGUCGAACGAUGAACCACUUCGGUGGGGAUUAGUGGCGAACGGGUGAGUAACACGUGGGCAAUCUGCCCUGCACUCUGGGACAAGCCCUGGAAACGGGGUCUAAUACCGGAUACUGAUCCUCGCAGGCAUCUGCGAGGUUCGAAAGCUCCGGCGGUGCAGGAUGAGCCCGCGGCCUAUCAGCUAGUUGGUGAGGUAACGGCUCACCAAGGCGACGACGGGUAGCCGGCCUGAGAGGGCGACCGGCCACACUGGGACUGAGACACGGCCCAGACUCCUACGGGAGGCAGCAGUGGGGAAUAUUGCACAAUGGGCGAAAGCCUGAUGCAGCGACGCCGCGUGAGGGAUGACGGCCUUCGGGUUGUAAACCUCUUUCAGCAGGGAAGAAGCGAAAGUGACGGUACCUGCAGAAGAAGCGCCGGCUAACUACGUGCCAGCAGCCGCGGUAAUACGUAGGGCGCAAGCGUUGUCCGGAAUUAUUGGGCGUAAAGAGCUCGUAGGCGGCUUGUCACGUCGGUUGUGAAAGCCCGGGGCUUAACCCCGGGUCUGCAGUCGAUACGGGCAGGCUAGAGUUCGGUAGGGGAGAUCGGAAUUCCUGGUGUAGCGGUGAAAUGCGCAGAUAUCAGGAGGAACACCGGUGGCGAAGGCGGAUCUCUGGGCCGAUACUGACGCUGAGGAGCGAAAGCGUGGGGAG